CCUUUUUAAUAAUCUAGAAUUGGAGAGACUUGAGUUUUUCUUAAUACACCCCCUCAUGUCCAUGGUGCAUGUGAUAUUCGCUUAGGUAGUUUUGCAGUUUUUUAUCCUCAUGUAAUGCUAUUUAUUAGCCUCGGUUAUUAUCCAAUGAACAAGACUUGACUUCUUUUUUUUCUCUUAUAUUCACAAGAGUCUAACAGCAUGUAUCAAUGGUGGGUGGCCCAUUUUUAAAAAUUUAGAAUAGCUCUGAUACCAUCUUAGAAUAGUGGAUUUAAGCCUAAUCCAACCCUACAAAAUCGGCUUGUAAGGUGAGAGUUAUUUUUUACUUAUAUACUUAAUCUCUAGUCGAUGUAAGACUUAAAUUUUUCUCAAUACUAUGUGUCAGUCUACGUGAAAAGAAUAUAGGUAUGAAAGUGCAUGUGUUGCUGUAGUUGCGUGUGUGAUAAUUUUAGUAAGUGAAGGUGAGAGUGAGAAAGAAUGUUGGCUGGCUGUUAGUGAGUGAGAGUGAGAGAGAAUGAAGGCUCUAGUUGGGAAGUUUUCAAAUUCUCCAUUUUGUAGGGUUUUAUAGAUGCGAGAAAGCUACCUGUCACCUGUGAAGACAUUGAUAUCAUUAUAACACAUUUUUGUGUAAAAUGUUAUUGGUCGAUUUCUCAUAAUCUUUCUUUAUUGGUGAAUAAAAUUUGAAUUGACAUACACGAAGGAUUUUCUAAACCAUAGUAGUCAAUACUACACUAAAGCUUAAUAAAGCAUAGCAACCUUGGGUAACUAUAUAGGAUUUAAAUAAUGGAGUGGUUUUAAUUAGUAAUCAUUGAGGUCUGUUAUCUUUUUGUAUACUGUAUAUUAAUUAUCAUAAAACAAGUCUCUGAUUGCCUUGUUUCAUGUUUCUAAGCUUUGUUUAAUUUAUAUUUCAUUUAUAAAAUUAUGAAAUUUCCAUAGGCCCACUUUUUACAGCUAGAUCUGACCUUUGAGGUAGAGGGUAAUUAAUAUUGUAAGAAGCUUUUUUUUUUGUCAUAAUCUCAGUUUGUUUUAUGUAUUUUAAUUUGUUUCAUUCAGUAGUUGCUAUAUAUUUUACCAAUAUAUAGCUUUCCAAUGAACACUUACUGCCACAUUAUGAGUCAUGACCUUGAUUUGAUGAUAAUAUAAUAUAUACUAUCGUUGACUUGCAACAUAUCCACUAACUUUAUUCUUACCUUGUUUGAUAUAUUAAAUUUUCUAAUGUUUUUCUUUGGCCAUUUUCUCUAAUUAGCAAGAGAGACCAGCUGGCAGAGUUGAGAUUUGUGCCUUUCUGAGGGGAUAAUUGUUCGUCUGGACUAAAGCAAAAUAAUAAGAUCAAGUUGAGGAUCCGGAUCUACUUGUGGCAUGAACAUUAGAAGUCAAUUUCAUCCCAAGAUGCAUCAAAUUAAAGGUAACUAAUAUUUUCCUAGAGCUUGUUACCAAAUGAAAUCAAAUGAGAAAAACAUUUUUGGAAGUUCUUAAAUAAAUAAAAGCUUUAGAUGAAUAUUUUUAUAAUAUUUCAAGAUGUGUACAAGUGAAGUAACACAAAAUAUUUGGUCUCAAAAGCUAUUAUUGUCAUCUUAUAAUGCAAGAGUUUCUUCAUAUAGCUAUGAAAUAUUGUUUGCCUGACAAAGUGAGCUUUGUUAUAGUUGAUAUUUGUCAUUUCUUCAAAGAGUUAUGUGGUAAGGUGCUUAACGAGCAUAAUUUGGAGCACUUGUAGCAUCAAAUAGCAAAAACAUUGUGUCAGGUAGAGUAAAUUUUUCCUCAAUCUUUUUUCAUUGUGAUGGUACAUUUAGUGAUCCAUUUGGCAUAUAAGACAAAAGUUGCAGUUCCAGUUCAUUAUUGAUGGAUGUAUCCCAUUGAAAGGUACUUUUUAUAGUAAUUUAAUAAAAUUUUAGAUUUAUAUAGUAAAAUGAUAUUAUCAUAUAAUGUAACCUAAAAUAUUUUUUUAGAUUCCUUUAUACUUUAAAGUCAUUUGUUCAUAAUUGAGCACAUCUAGAGGGUUCUAUUUCAAAGGGACAUUUAGCUCAUGAAUACUUGAUAUUUUGUUCAUGAUAUCUUUCUAGAGGUGGAAACUCAUUUUAACAGAUAUAGUUGAAAUGAUGAUUCUCAUUUUGUAGAAACCCAAGAGGUAGACCUUUGGAGAGAAAAGGUCAAGUUAGGUUCAAUGUGAAAAAAAAAAGUUUCUUGAAAGUCUUUUAAUAAGAGAACAUUGCUUCAAACA